GAGUUUGAUUCUGGCUCAGGAUGAACGCUAGCUACAGGCUUAACACAUGCAAGUCGAGGGGCAUCGGGGGAAGAGCUUGCUCUUUCUGCCGGCGACCGGCGCACGGGUGCGUAACGCGUAUCAAACCUGCCGCAUACUCGGGGACAGCCUUGCGAAAGUAAGAUUAAUACCCGAUGUUAUUAAGUUCUCGCAUGAGGAUUUGAUCAAAGAUUUAUCGGUAUGCGAUGGUGAUGCGUCUGAUUAGGUAGUAGGCGGGGUAACGGCCCACCUAGCCAUCGAUCAGUAGGGGUUCUGAGAGGAAGGUCCCCCACACUGGAACUGAGACACGGUCCAGACUCCUACGGGAGGCAGCAGUGAGGAAUAUUGGUCAAUGGACGAGAGUCUGAACCAGCCAAGUAGCGUGCAGGAUGACUGCCUUAUGGGUUGUAAACUGCUUUUAGUUGGGAAUAAAAGAAGGGACGUGUCC
rnacentral:rRNA from 1 species